rnacentral:misc_RNA from 1 species
GGCAAAAGAAUGGGUGGUGGA